rnacentral:rRNA from 1 species
AUUGAACGCUGGCGGCAGGCUUAACACAUGCAAGUCGAGCGGGGUGAUGGUGCUUGCACUAUCACUUAGCGGCGGACGGGUGAGUAAUGCUUAGGAAUCUGCCUAUUAGUGGGGGACAACAUCUCGAAAGGGAUGCUAAUACCGCAUACGUCCUACGGGAGAAAGCAGGGGAUCACUUGUGACCUUGCGCUAAUAGAUGAGCCUAAGUCGGAUUAGCUAGUUGGGGGGGUAAAGGCCUACCAAGGCGACGAUCUGUAGCGGGUCUGAGAGGAUGAUCCGCCACACUGGGACUGAGACACGGCCCAGACUCCUACGGGAGGCAGCAGUGGGGAAUAUUGGACAAUGGGGGGAACCCUGAUCCAGCCAUGCCGCGUGUGUGAAGAAGGCCUUAUGGUUGUAAAGCACUUUAAGCGAGGAGGAGGCUCUUUUGGUUACUACCCAAGAUGAGUGGACGUUACUCGCAGAAUAAGCACCGGCUAACUCUGUGCCAGCAGCCGCAGUAA